rnacentral:antisense_RNA from 1 species
UUUUAUGGUAAGCCAAGUAGGGCAGUCUUUGACUGGCCGUUUCGUUGAGCGGUAUUUCCACACCCUAUUUGGUUUGCCUCCAUC